CAGUCGCCGCGGUAAUACGAACCGUGCGAACGUUAUUCGGAAUCACUGGGCUUAAAGCGCGUGUAGGCGGAUGGGGACGUCGGUAGCUGAAAGCCCCCGGCUCAACCGGGGAAGUGGCGCCGAAACGCCCCGUCUGGAGGGACGUAGGGGGACCUGGAACUUCCGGUGGAGCGGUGAAAUGCGUUGAGAUCGGAAGGAACGCCCGUGGCGAAAGCGAGGUCCUGGACGUCUACUGACGCUGAGACGCGAAAGCUAGGGGAGCGAACGGGAUUAGAUACCCCAGUAGUCCCUGUCUCUUAUA
rnacentral:rRNA from 1 species